UCGGCAUAUUUGGUAGAUUUUUCAUAUUUGAGCUUAAAUCGGGUUGUUUUUAAUGACUAAAUCAGUUAAAAUCUUUCAAAUAAAUUAAUUGAUUCAAAUGAAAUAGACACAUAAGUGUUUUAAAAGUGGUCAAAAUCUUUCGUAAGAUGAACCUGAAAUUUGAGGCCAAAAUCGGUCCUUACCGGACCUACUCCUUUGUUUAU
rnacentral:lncRNA from 1 species